rnacentral:tmRNA from 1 species
GGGGAUGACUGGUUUUGACAGCGUGUAGAGGUGGUAAGUAAGCAUGCAGAGCUAUGAUGUCUACGCUCUAUAAUCACCAGGCAUCGACCUAUAAAUGGCGAAACUAACACUUACGCUCUCGCUGCUUAAUCUGAAGCAUAGUAGGAUUGCUUAAUUUCUGCCACAGUGGUAGAAACGAGACAUCACCCGAUUGCCCCGUCCCGAGACGUUUCGAUAAGGUGGUGCUAAAUAAUUCGGGAAUUGGAUUCGCAGAGCCUCGAUGUGAGUCUGAAAUUUAGAGGAUAAGGUGGUAAUUGGUAGUCGUGAGCCUGUUGUCACUCGAAAAUCAAGUCAAUGACUAAGCAUGUAGAAAGCUUAUUAGUUCCACGUUUGGACGAGGGUUCAAACCCCUCCAUCUCCACAA